CUCAGAUCCUGCGUGGCUGUGGCUGUGGUGUAGGCCGGCUGCUGUAGUUCUGAUUUGACCCCUAGCCUGGGAACCUCCAUAUGCCACAGGUUCGGCCCUAGAAAGCUAAAAAACAAAAUGUAUUGUGAGGAAGUUUAGUCUGGUAUGUGUCUGUGUGUGCUGAGUCAUGAAAUAAAAGCCUCUCUUCUGGGUCACUGCAAAAAAAGGGUGAAAGCCAUUGCUGUAAACAAUGAUUUUUCUUUUUCUCUCCUCGUUCUUUAUCUCCCAGACAAGCCCAGCAGCCUUGGACUGUUCUGAACAGAAGGAACUUGAUAAAGAAAGUGAGACAUGUAGAAGAGUGUGUCCAGAUGCCAAUGGAACGAGGGCCUGACCUCUACCGGCUCUCAGCCCACGACUUCCCUUCCUCCCUCUCAAUACCUGGGCAUGACCCUGCUUUUUGUACUGGGCUGUGUCUUCUUCCCGUUGACUUUCGCGCUCCUCUGCUGGGGUCUGCAGAACCACUCCAACCUGCGGAUGGAGAGGCCAGAGGCUGUUUUGGUGGCAUCCAAGUAAGGGGACAGGGUGAGGGCACCCUUUCUUGGGGCCAGGGCUGGUAGCACUGGUCUCCUACUUUCAGGAAGAGUUAGUGAUGGGAGCAGAAGCAGACUAUGUGCGUACGUGAGUGCGUGUGGCAGUUGGUGUGGGCAGGGGAUAUAGAAUCAAAGGCACUGGCUAUGAGAUCUUUUCCAAGUCAUUUAACCUCAGAGCUCCUGUUUGUAAUUUUUUUUUUUUUCUUUUUAGGCCUGCACCUGCAGCAUAUGGAAGUUCCCAGGCUAGGGGUCCAGUUGAGCUGCAGCUGCCAGCAUAUGCCAUAGCCACAGCCAUGCCAGAUCUGAGCCACAUAUGUGACCUGCACCACAGCUCAUGGCAACGUCAGAUCCUUAACCACUGAGGGAGGCCAGGGAUUGAGCCCACAUCCUCAUGGAUUCUAGUCUACUAGUUGGAUUCUUAACCCACUGCCCCACAAUGGGAACUCCUGAUUGUUUCUUUUUGUGUGUCUUUCUCUCUUUUUAGGGCUGCACCCACAGCAUAUGGAGGUUCCCAGGCUAGGGGUCCAAUAGGAGCUGUAGCCGUCAGCCUAUGCCACAGCCACAGCAAUAGCAACACAGGAUCUAAGUCGUGUCUGUGACCUACACCACAGCUCACGGCAAUGCUGGAUCCUUAACCUACUGUGCAAGGCCAGGGAUCGAACCUGCAUCCUCAUGGAUGCUAGUCAGGUUUGUUAAGCACUGAGCCAUGACGGAAAUUCCCCGACUGCUUCCUAAAAGAAGUUGAGCUUUUAUAUGAAAUCUCCUAAUUUUCAAACACUGACAAAUAACGUAGAAUUUAGGAAAAUACUGUACUGGCAACACCAGUCUGGCCAAACAAAACAUAUUUAUGCGAUGGAUGGAGCCCUCGUGCUGCAAAUUUAUGGCCUAUUUGAUAAAGAUUAAUAAUAUACCUGUGAAGGAGUUCUCAUUGUGGCUCAGUGGGUUAAGGAUCUGACACUGUCUCUGUGAGGACCCAGGUUCGAUCCCUGGCCCCACUCAGUGGGUUAAGGAUCCGGUGUUGCCAAGCUGUGGUGUAGACUGGCUCAAUUUUGGUGUUGCUAUGGCUGUGGUGUAGACUGGCAGCUACAGCUCCAAUUCAGCCCCUGGGAACUUCCACCUGCCACGGGUGCAGCCCUAAAACAAACAAACAAACAAAAAAAAACCCCAAAAAACCAAACAGUCAACAAAACCCUCUAAGCUUAAGUUUCUUGUCUAUGAAACAAAGAUACUACCAUCUGGGAAGAUUAAAUAAGAGCGAACAUAAACCACUUCACCCCAAGCCUAGCAGAUAGAAAAUACUCACGGAGUUCCCAUUGUGGCGCAGCAGAAACAGAUCUGACUAGUAUCU
rnacentral:lncRNA from 1 species